CUAAAUACUCCUGACUGACCGAUAGUGAACCAGUACCGUGAGGGAAAGGCGAAAAGAACCCCGGCGAGGGGAGUGAAAAAGAACCUGAAACCGUGUACGUACAAGCAGUGGGAGCACGCUUAGGCGUGUGACUGCGUACCUUUUGUAUAAUGGGUCAGCGACUUAUAUUCUGUAGCAAGGUUAACCGAAUAGGGGAGCCGAAGGGAAACCGAGUCUUAACUGGGCGUUAAGUUGCAGGGUAUAGACCCGAAACCCGGUGAUCUAGCCAUGGGCAGGUUGAAGGUUGGGUAACACUAACUGGAGGACCGAACCGACUAAUGUUGAAAAAUUAGCGGAUGACUUGUGGCUGGGGGUGAAAGGCCAAUCAAACCGGGAGAUAGCUGGUUCUCCCCGAAAGCUAUUUAGGUAGCGCCUCGUGAAUUCAUCUCCGGGGGUAGAGCACUGUUUCGGCAAGGGGGUCAUCCCGACUUACCAACCCGAUGCAAACUGCGAAUACCGGAGAAUGUUAUCACGGGAGACACACGGCGGGUGCUAACGUCCGUCGUGAAGAGGGAAACAACCCAGACCGCCAGCUAAGGUCCCAAAGUCAUGGUUAAGUGGGAAACGAUGUGGGAAGGCCCAGACAGCCAGGAUGUUGGCUUAGAAGCAGCCAUCAUUUAAAGAAAGCGUAAUAGCUCACUGGUCGAGUCGGCCUGCGCGGAAGAUGUAACGGGGCUAAACCAUGCACCGAAGCUGCGGCAGCGACGCUGAUGCGUUGUUGGGUAGGGGAGCGUUCUGUAAGCCUGUGAAGGUGUGCUGUGAGGCAUGCUGGAGGUAUCAGAAGUGCGAAUGCUGACAUAAGUAACGAUAAAGCGGGUGAAAAGCCCGCUCGCCGGAAGACCAAGGGUUCCUGUCCAACGUUAAUCGGGGCAGGGUGAGUCGACCCCUAAGGCGAGGCCGAAAGGCGUAGUCGAUGGGAAACAGGUUAAUAUUCCUGUACUUGGUGUUACUGCGAAGGGGGGACGGAGAAGGCUAUGUUGGCCGGGCGACGGUUGUCCCGGUUUAAGCGUGUAGGCUGGUUUUCCAGGCAAAUCCGGAAAAUCAAGGCUGAGGCGUGAUGACGAGGCACUACGGUGCUGAAGCAACAAAUGCCCUGCUUCCAGGAAAAGCCUCUAAGCAUCAGGUAACAUCAAAUCGUACCCCAAACCGACACAGGUGGUCAGGUAGAGAAUACCAAGGCGCUUGAGAGAACUCGGGUGAAGGAACUAGGCAAAAUGGUGCCGUAACUUCGGGAGAAGGCACGCUGAUAUGUAGGUGAAGUCCCUCGCGGAUGGAGCUGAAAUCAGUCGAAGAUACCAGCUGGCUGCAACUGUUUAUUAAAAACACAGCACUGUGCAAACACGAAAGUGGACGUAUACGGUGUGACGCCUGCCCGGUGCCGGAAGGUUAAUUGAUGGGGUCAGCGCAAGCGAAGCUCUUGAUCGAAGCCCCGGUAAACGGCGGCCGUAACUAUAACGGUCCUAAGGUAGCGAAAUUCCUUGUCGGGUAAGUUCCGACCUGCACGAAUGGCGUAAUGAUGGCCAGGCUGUCUCCACCCGAGACUCAGUGAAAUUGAACUCGCUGUGAAGAUGCAGUGUACCCGCGGCAAGACGGAAAGACCCCGUGAACCUUUACUAUAGCUUGGCACUGAACAUUGAGCCUUGAUGUGUAGGAUAGGUGGGAGGCUUAGAAGUGUGGACGCCAGUCUGCAUGGAGCCGACCUUGAAAUACCACCCUUUAAUGUUUGAUGUUCUAACGUUGACCCGUAAUCCGGGUUGCGGACAGUGUCUGGUGGGUAGUUUGACUGGGGCGGUCUCCUCCUAAAGAGUAACGGAGGAGCACGAAGGUUGGCUAAUCCUGGUCGGACAUCAGGAGGUUAGUGCAAUGGCAUAAGCCAGCUUGACUGCGAGCGUGACGGCGCGAGCAGGUGCGAAAGCAGGUCAUAGUGAUCCGGUGGUUCUGAAUGGAAGGGCCAUCGCUCAACGGAUAAAAGGUACUCCGGGGAUAACAGGCUGAUACCGCCCAAGAGUUCAUAUCGACGGCGGUGUUUGGCACCUCGAUGUCGGCUCAUCACAUCCUGGGGCUGAAGUAGGUCCCAAGGGUAUGGCUGUUCGCCAUUUAAAGUGGUACGCGAGCUGGGUUUAGAACGUCGUGAGACAGUUCGGUCCCUAUCUGCCGUGGGCGCUGGAGAACUGAGGGGGGCUGCUCCUAGUACGAGAGGACCGGAGUGGACGCAUCACUGGUGUUCGGGUUGUCAUGCCAAUGGCACUGCCCGGUAGCUAAAUGCGGAAGAGAUAAGUGCUGAAAGCAUCUAAGCACGAAACUUGCC
rnacentral:rRNA from 1 species